rnacentral:rRNA from 1 species
CUGUUUUUCUGUCUAAAACACAGAGAGAGUAAGAGCUGGGUAAGACGGGUGCCAGCCGCCGCGGUAAUACCUGCAGCUCGAGUGGUGGCCGCUAUUAUUGGGCCUAAAACGUCCGUAGCCGGUUUAGUAAAUGCCUGGGUAAAUCGUGUAGCUUAACUAUACGAAUUCCGGGUAGACUGCUGAACUUGAGACCGGGAGAGGCUAGAGGUACUCCUGGGGUAGAGGUGAAAUUCUGUAAUCCUAGGGGGACCACCAGUGGCGAAGGCGUCUAGCUAGAACGGAUCUGACGGUGAGGGACGAAGCCCUGGGGCGCGAACCGGAUUAGAUACCCGGGUAGUCCAGGGUGUAAACGCUGCUUGCUUGAUGUUAGUUGGGCUCCGAGCCCAAUUAGUGUCGGAGAGAAGUUGUUAAGCAAGCUGCCUGGAAGUACGUCGCAAGAC